ensembl:lncRNA
AUGUGUUUGAACUACGUUAGUCUACUUAUAUGCAGGUUUUCUUCUGCCUCUGCCACUCCUGAAACAGCAAGACCAAGUCCUCCUCUUCCUCUUCCUCCUCAGCCUACUCAAUGUGAAGAGGAUGGGAAUGAAGAACUUCAUGAUGAUCCACUUCCACUUAAUGAACAAAGGGAGAAAACUUCCCCUUCUCCUUUUGCCAUGAGUGGAAGCAUCCUGAGACCCUCACCAGAAGCAGAUGUUGGCACCAUACUUCUUGCACAGCCUGCAGAACUUAUUGAGAAUCUCCAUCGCUCCACAUCCUUGUCAGCCUUUGGUGCUGUAAAUGUUCUGGAUUUUAGCCAUUUUAAUAGGUAUGUCAUGAGAUCUCACUGUUGUUUUAGUUGGCAAUUCCCUGACGACGUAUGAUGUUGAGUAUCUUUUCAUAUGCUUAUUUGCUAUCUACAUGUUUUCUUUGGUGAACUGUCUGUUCAGGUUUUUUUUUUUUUUUUCUCACUUAUUAAUUAAUUGGGUUGCUUACUUUCUUAUUGCUGAGUUUUGUUUUAAUAGUUAUUUCUAUAUUUUAGGUAUAAUGAUUCAUCAGAUAUGUGUUUUGCAAAUAUUUACUUCCAGUCUGUGGCUUAUAUUUUUAUUCUUCUAAGAGUGAUUUUUUGUGAGCAGAAGUUUUUAAUUGUAAUGAAGUAUAACAUCAAUUUUUGCUUUCAUAUGUUGUGCUUUUGGUGUUGUAUCUAAGAAGUCACCACCAAACCAAAGGUCAGCUAGCUUUUAUCUUAUGUUACAUUCUAGAACUUUGUGGUUUCUUGUUCUAAAUUUAGGUCUCUAAUCCAUUUGGGGUUAAUUUUUGUGAAAAGUGUAUGAUCUGUGACUAGAUUCACUUUUUUUUUUUGCAUAUGAAUGUCCAUUUGUUCUAGCACCCUUUAUUGAAAAGACUCUCUUUUCUCUAUUAAAUUGCCUUCACUCUUUUGUCAAAGUUUAAUUGAUUAUAUCUGUGUCUGUCUAUUUCUGGGCUGCUAUUCUGUUCCCUUGAUUUAUUUUUUUAACCUUUUGCCAAUACCGUAUUUUCUUGGUUAUUGUAGUUUCCUUCUUUUUUUAAAAAAAUUUCUAGUUUAACUUGAUUUGUAUAAUUUUCCUCCUCCUAAAUUUAUUAAUACUUAUUUCAUGACUUAACAUAUGAUUUAUCCUGGAGAAUAUCCCAUAUGUGCUUGAAAAGAAUGUAUACUCUUGGUGUUGAUGGGUGUUUAGUCAAGUUGGUUGAUAAUGUUUUUUACGUUUUAUGUAUUCUUGCUGAAUUUUUUUACUAGUUGUUCUAUUAGUUUUUACUUUGUUGCUUAGGCUUGAAACUUAUCUAUCAGUUUUCAAGAGUGAAAUAUUAAAGUUUAUAACUACUAUUGUUGAAUUUUCUAUUUCUACCUUGAAUUCUGCCAGUUUUAGUUUUGUGUAUUUAGGGAUCAGUUAUUAGAUGUUUAUAAUUUUUAUGUAGUACUGCUGAGUUGAUGCUUUUAUCAUCAUAAAAUGUCUCUCCCAUCCAGUAGCAAUUUUUUAAAGUUUAUUUUGUCUUUUAUUAGUAUAACCUCUCCAGCUCCAUUUUGGUUACUGUUUGCAUUAUAUGUCUUUUACUCAUCUUUUUACUUCUAGCUGAUUUGUGUCUUUGAAUCUAAGUUCUCUCUUGUAGGCAGCAUAUAAUUGGAUCAUGUAGUAUUAUCCAUUCAACCUGCCUCUGCCUUUUGGAUUGGAGCAUUUAAUUAUUUACAUUUAAUUUAAUGACUGAUAAGGUGGGAUAUAUGUCUGCCAUUUUACUAUUUGUUUCCUGUGUGUCUUGUGUCUUUUUUGUUCGUCUCUUUCCUCAUGACUGACUUCUCUUGUGUUAAAUAGAUGUCUUCAAUGUUAUCAUUUAAAUUCCCAUGUUGUUCCUUCUACUCUUUUUAAAAAUGUUAUUUCUUAGUGGUUAUCCUCAGGAUUACAACUGCUAUCUUAAAGCAAUCUAGUCUGGAUGAAUACUAACUUAAUUUCAAUAGUACACAGAAAUACAGAAUUUUGCUCCAGUAUCACUCCAUUCCCUCCUUCCUCUUACAUGAUAUUAUUAUACAGAUUACAUCUUUAUACAUUAGACCGUCAAUACAGAUUUAUAUUUAUUCCUUUAUGCACUUGUCUUCUAAUUCAGAGAAGAAAAGCAGUACAAAAAUUAUAAUUUUAUUUGUCUUUCGUUUAAGGCUGAAGGAGCCCCUUUAGGGCAGAUUUGCUGGUUGUAAAUUCUGUAAGCUUUUGUUUACCUUGGAAUACAUUUCUCUCACAGUUUUGAAAAUUGUUUUGUUAGAUAUAGAACUUUUGGUCAGUGGUUGCCCCUUCCCCUAAUACUUCAAGUAUGUCAUCAUGCUACUUUCUGAUCUCCAUAGUUUCUGAUGAAAUGUCAGCAUUAAUAGUUUUGAGAAUUUCUUGUACAUAAUGAUUUAAUUUUCUCUUAUUGCUCUCAAGAGUCUCUCUUUGUGUCCUUCUGCGGUUUGACUAUGAUAUAUUAAUGUGUGUCUUUCUUUGAAUUUUUCUACUUGGGGUUCAUUUGUUUUUUCUAUCAAUGUUGGGAAGAUUUCAGUCAUUAUCUCCUCAACUAUUCUUUCUAUCCCUUCCUCUCCAAUCCUUCUGGUACUCUUACUAUGUGUUUGUAUUUUGUCUUUUAUUAGUAUAACUUCUCCAGCUCUAUUUUGGGUACUGUUUGUAUUAUAUAUCCUUUAUUUGUCUUUUUACUUCUAGCUGAUUUGUAUCCUUUCAUACAAGAUGGAUACAAAGAAUGGAGAGGCUUACUAUUUGAUAGCACAACAAGGUGACUAUAGUCAAUAG